rnacentral:lncRNA from 1 species
CUCCCAAAAUCAAUCCCAACCUUCCUUUUGUGGUCAUAAACCUUGUGUCAAAAUUUCAUAGAUUUCUAUUCACUUAAACUAAAGUUAUAGUGCGAAAACCAAGAAAAUGCAUAUUUGGGCCCUUUUUGGCCCCUAAUUCCUAAAAUGUUGGGACCAAAACUCCCAAAAUCAAUCCCAACCUUCCUUUUGUGGUCAUAAACCUUGUGUUAAAAUUUCAUUGAUUUCUAUUCACUUUUACUAAAGUUAGAGUGCGAAAACUAAAAGUAUUCGGACGACGACGACGACGACGCCGACGACGCCAAUGUGAUAGCAAUAUACGACGAAAAAUUUUUCAAAUUUUGCGGUCGUAUAAAAAGGAUUGUCAAAAUCUCAUAACUGCAAGAGUAUGCUCAUACUCGUAGCAUCAUCAAACUUGUUUCACUGUUGCAUCUAUAGCAUUUACUUCACGAUUUAUCCUUCCAUUUUCCUAAAAUCGAUCAAGAGCAUUUAAGGGAAGGCAACAGCUUAAAAAUAAUAUGAUUUUAAUGACUCAAAAUGAUAAUUUUCUCAGUCAUCGCUUACGUUUCUUUCGAUUCUGAAGUCGAAAUUCAAACCGGAUGUAAUGCGACAAUACUAAUACGAACAAUUCCGGACUCAUUUCCGGGAUUAGUUUUGUUUAUCAAAUUCACAGAUCAUCGGCUUUUUAAUAUUUUAUCUUUAAUAGUGUGAGAAUAUUAAU